AUCUGCCCUGGUGCGAAACUGAGGCCUGCUCCUCGAUGUAACUAGAAGGAUGCAAGGAACUAGGAUGAAAUUUUGUCUGCUGUGGCUUGAUUUUAUUUAACACCUUAUGCAUGUGCCUCAAAAAUGAUGUUGGGGAACCCCAACUGCAUCCUCCUAAGGCCCCUCUCUGGGAUAUGCAGGCCUUGGUGGUCUUGUUGGUCAUUUCCUGUGUAAAAGUUUGUGCAGCAUGCCUCCAGUUGUGUAAAGAAUGUAAAAGGGAAAUGUCUCAAAACAGAAGAAGACGCCUGUGGGCAGCACCUUCUGCAGAGUGAUCCUGGGAGCUGGAAAGAAGACUCACUUUUCAUUUUACAACCUUGGGCACUGUAAGGAUAUUUUGGGCUUGCACUGUGGAAUAGUCAGCCCACAUCCCUAUGGAACCACCCACCUUUCCAAAAAAUCCUCCAAGCUGGUAAAGGCUGGAUUGUCAAGGAAGUCCCCCACUGUGCCUUUUUCUUUCUGGCAGCCCUCUGCUCCAUUGAUGAAGGUUCAGCCAGGAGUCCUGGGCUGCCCCUCCAUCAAGACCAAGCUGGCUCACGGUCACUUGUGACAAUAAGUAAAGCAUCCCCAUCAUCAUCAUCAACUGACAAAAACUGAUCCCACCCCAGUCCCCAUGCUGGGGCCUGGGUGCUAAAGACAAGAUCUCGGCUGAGCACGCCACUGCCUG
rnacentral:lncRNA from 1 species